AGGGUUGAUAAGAAAUUAAAUGUUAUUCAUUAUGCUAGUAAGACUCUAGACAAUGCUCAAAGAAAUUAUGCUACUACUGAAAAAGAGCUUUUAGCAGUUGUAUUUUCUUGUGAUAAGUUCAGACCUUAUAUUAUUGAUUCUAAAGUAACUAUUCACACUAAUCAUGCUGCUAUUAAAUACCUUAUGGAAAAGAAAGAUGCUAAACCUAGACUUAUUAGAUGGGUUUUCUUGCUACAAGAAUUUGAUUUGCAUAUUGUUGAUAGAAAGGGAGCUGAGAACCCCGUUGCAAACAACUUGUCUAGGUUAGAAAAUAUUCUUGAUGACCCACUACCUAUUAAUGAUGACUUUCCUGAUGAACAAUUAAAUGUUAUAAGUACUUCUCGUAGUACUCCAUGGUAUGCUGAUUAUGCUAAUUAUAUUGUUGCUAAGUUUAUACCACCUAGCUUCACAUACCAGCAAAAGAAAAAGUUCUUCUAUGACUUGAGACAUUACUUUUGGGAUGACCCACAUCUUUAUAAAGAAGGAGUAGAUGGUGUUAUUAGACGUUGUGUACCUGAGCAUGAACAGGAACAGAUCCUACGCAAGUGUCAUUCCGAGUCUUAUGGAGGACACCACACUGGAGAUAGAACUGCACAUAAGGUAUUGCAAUCUGGUUUUUAUUGGUCUACUCUCUUCAAGGAUGCCCGUAAGUUUGUCUUGUCUUGUGAUGAAUGUCAAAGAAUUGGUAAUAUUUGUAGACGUCAAGAAAUGCCUAUGAAUUAUUCACUUGUUAUUGAACCAUUUGAUGUUUGGGGCUUUGAUUAUAUGUGA
rnacentral:rRNA from 1 species